rnacentral:lncRNA from 1 species
GGCGGGUGGGAGGAUUUUAUUUUUAAAAUUUUAUUUAAUAUGAAACCUUCUUGUAACGUGAACUUCAUAUAUAUGCAAGUGUUUACUUAAACUAGAGGCUCUCAAGAGCCGGUGUCGCUCACCUUGGUCUAUGUGCAUAUUCAACAAUGGACAAAGAUAAAUUCAUGACAAAAUUGUGUUUUGGUGAUCAUGAUGUGUUUGUAGAUCUUACUUUACUGGACAUUCUUCUUGCUACAAUCAUCUCUAUCUAUAAUGAACUUGGCCCAGUAAUUACAGUGGAAAAUAUAUACUAAAAAUUUACAAAAAUUUACAAAAAUUUAUGAAAAUUGUUAAAAAAUGACUAUAAAGGGCAAUAACUCCUUAAGGGGUAAACUGACGAUUUUGGUCAUGUUGACUUAUUUGUAGAUCUUACUUUGCUGAACAUUAUUGCUGUUUACAGUUUAUCUCUAUCUAUUAUAAUAUUCAAGAUAAUAACCAAAAACUGCCAAAUUUCCUUAAAAUUACUAAUUCUGGAGCAGCAACCCAACAACAGGUUGUCUGUUUUGCCUGAAAAUUUCACGGCAGAUAGAUCUUGACCUGAUUAACAAUUUAUCCCCUGUCAGAUUUGCUCUAAAUGCUUUGGUUUCAGAGAUAUAAGCCAAAAUCUACAUUUCGCCCCUAUGUACUAUUUUUAGCCAUGGCGGCCAUCUUGGUUGGUUGGCAGGGUCACGCCACACAUUUUUAAAACUAGAUACCCAAAUGAUGA